GACGAACGCUGGCGGCGUGCCUAAUACAUGCAAGUAGGACGCAGUUGCGAACGGGUUAGUAACGCGUAGGUAACUGCCUAUUAGAGGGGGGUAACUAUUGGAAACGAUAGCUAAUACCGCAUACUAGUAGAUGGACCUGCGUUGUAUUAGCUAGUAGGUAGGGUAAUGGCCUACCUAGGCGACGAUACAUAGCCGACCUGAGAGGGUGAUUGGCCAAAAUGGGAAUGGGACACGGGCCAGACUCCUAAGGGAGGGAGCAGUAGGGAAGUUUCGGCAAUGGGGGGAAACCUGACCGGGGAAAGCCGGGGGGGUGAAGAAGGUUUUCGGAUCGGAAAGCUCUGUUGUUAAGGAAGCGGUACUUAACCAGAAAGGGACGGCUAACUACGUGCCAGCAGCCGCGGUAAUUC
rnacentral:rRNA from 1 species